rnacentral:tRNA from 1 species
GUUAAGGUGACAGAGCCUAGUAAACUGCAUAGAACUUAAAACUUUAUACUCAGAGGUUCAAUUUCUCUCCUUAACA